rnacentral:rRNA from 1 species
CACGUAGGGUGCGAGCGUUGUCCGGAAUUAUUGGGCGUAAAGAGCUCGUAGGCGGUGUGUCGCGUCGGCCGUGAAAACCUGCAGCUUAACUGUGGGCGUGCGGUCGAUACGGGCAGGCUCGAGUUCGGUAGGGGAGACUGGAAUUCUUGGUGUAGCGGUGAAAUGCGUAGAUAUCAAGAGGAACACCUGAGGUGAAGACGGGUUGCUGGGCUGACACUGACGCUGACAGCGCGAAAGCCAGGGGAGCAAACGGG